ACAAGCCUGUGAUGGUCAGUUAUCCCUGUCUGAAAAUCGUGGCUGAGGGAGAAUGAUCUUUUCUGAGGCUUAG